UACGGAGGGUGCGAGCGUUGUCCGGAAUCACUGGGCGUAAAGGGUGCGUAGGCGGGCUGCCAAGUUUGAGGUGAAAUCCUCCGGCUCAACCGGGGAAGUGCCUUGAAUACUGGCGGUCUGGAGGGAGGUAGGGGCGUGCGGAACUAACGGUGGAGCGGUGAAAUGCGUUGAGAUCGGAAGGAACGCCCGUGGCGAAAGCGAGGUCCUGGACGUCUACUGACGCUGAGACGCGAAAGCUAGGGGAGCAAACGGG
rnacentral:rRNA from 1 species